AGGCGGCCUAAGUCUCUUUUUUGGUGACUAUGACACUCCAAAGAGAGAUCUUCCAGUAGCAGCAGGCACACAGAGACAGAGCUGUAUCCCUGAGCACUGAAGGCUGCAGGAACCAAGGUUGGCUUUUCUCUGCCUUAUUAUUGUCCAAGUCCAGCUGGAUCAACUUGUCAGCCAGAUUAAAGCCCCAAAGCUCUGUUGGGUACCACUUCAUGGGUUUUUUUUCCCUGUAAAUGAGAAACAGGUGGAGGACAUUGGAGCUAACAGGAGGACACAGCUUUCCCUCUUAAUCUCAUCUACCCCUUGGACCAAAGGUGAGGACCACUCCUCACAGGUGUUCCUGAAUGAUGGUUCAUCAGACAAACAUCUUAAGGGCCAGAUGACCUCCAAGUAUGCUCAGACCUUGGUCUACUUACCUCAGUCUGGUCUCACGUUGUUCUUUUUGAGAUCAAAGUAAGGAACUCAAUCUUAUAAAAGCAACAGCUCAAGAACCACCACAUCAGCUGGUCACUGCUGGAUGGAAACAGAGCAGCUUUCCAGAUAAACUUGACCUGUGUUACACUGUCCAUCCUUUGGGCAUACUGGAGAAAUUACUCCAGCCCUAUUCAAAACCCUGGGCAGCAUGUGGACUUCUAAUUAGAGCCAUGCUUGGAGAAGUCACUUGGGAGCAGGUUUCUUUUAUCAUUGUGAGCUGAGAACUGGAGGGAAUCUAUGGGAGAGAAGAUGAUCCAUCCCAAGCAAGUGAAAUGGCUGCCACCAUCUCCUGCCAUGUGUGAAAGAAGGGGAUGAGGAGUGAUGGUGGUGUAUGUUUGGGAAUGAAGGGCCUGCUUGUUUCUGCUGAUGCCCUAGGAUUUCACAAGGAGUGGAACCCUUGGGGCUCUCCAGGUUGAAGGCACAGCAGGUUUGUGCAUCCCAUGUGUCUCUGUGGAGCUUUGUUCUCAGCUGCAGGUCAUAAUCAGGCACACACAUCGUCCCUCUGCUGCCCAGAGAUCACGUCAGACACCACCAGCUCCAACAAAGGGAAGGAGAGCCACUGGUCUGCAGUGAACUUCCCCACAGCAGCAGAGCUCACACCUCUUUGUGAGGUGCCCAGCAGAAUGGCACAGGAACUAAAGCACUGGAGGUAACUUGAGUGGAACUCAAAAUACUGACCCCUUUUGCAAAGCCUGUAAGAUCUACUGAUGAAAAGCACUCUCCAACAGGUGGGUAUUGUUGCCUUCGUUGUAUUCCUUAUUUAUUUAAAAAUCAAGAAAAGGUUAUAACAAUCGAGGACUUUUCCGUAAGAGUCUGCGUAACCAUUUCUAAAAGGACACUUGUAUAUUUGACUAUUCAUCCUCCCUUCUGGCUGUGCUAGUUGCUGUUGUUCUGAGGGUGAUCCGUGCAACUUACAGUUCAUGUGAGUUUUGUGCACUAUUAGAAUCACGUUUUCAGUGUUUCCAUGUUCUUGGCUUGUCCUGACCUCAAAGGGAUGAUCUCAAUGCUGCCUCCUCAGAAAACUGCAUUUCUGUUCCCUCCUCCGCUCUCGUUUUUUGUGGCUGAUGUUAUCUUAUGUUAUCUUAAUUACAUGCUUUAAGGAUGCCUGCUGCACAGAUCAUUGAUGGAGUUUGAUGUUUGUUAAUAUCACAUUGCGUUAUGAAAAUCUGGUACAUUAAGACCUUGGUGUCUUUCCAAAUUAUUCUGAAGAUAUAAAAAACUUAAUAAGCAACCCACUUUAACUAAUACAGACUAAUAGGUUGAGAAGGAGGAGGUGAGUUUUGGGAACAUGUUUAUUAGAGAGGUUGCAAGUAAAAUGAUUUAAAGAGCCCUUGAUCAGGAAUUGUGAUUCAAGGUCAGGAUUUAGUGUCAGAAUCAGGGUUAGUACUUGUGGGGAUAGUAGAUAUCAAUUUGUGGUCAAAGCAAGUCAACCUUCUCGCUUGUAUUUAAUUUUUCCCCAACCAGCAAUUUGUCUUUAAAUGCAAACACUUAACUAAAUCAGGUGCAGAUGGUUGUUUUUACCAAAUGAAUGCUGUUUUAUCACUUUAAAAGCUUUUGUUUUUAGUCAAGGGAAGGAAGUGGGCAGCACUCCCUUGUUUUUGAAAGAAGAAGAGCAUAUGCUUUUUAAUUUGAAAUGUAGUGCUAAUAGCAUUAUCCACAGGGGGAUAGGCUGUGCUGUUGUGGAUUGUGGAUAAUGCAUUUAUGCUCAAAUAUCCUUUAUUCCCUCCUGAGUGAAAGAAUUUAACAGCAUAUUGUAUUACCAUGCCAUGGAGAGUGUAGUUUACUUUAAGAGUGAAUUUUUUGACGGUAUUAACUCUGGGUUUGUUUUUGUUUUGUUAAUUUUUAAGGAAAUUCUUGAUGAAUUUUCAGUGUUCUUACAACACUCUGUUGAAAAAAAAACCCUUCAACCUACCAAGAACAAUGAAAAAAUACCAUUGAGGGGAGAUCUGGAGAUACCGCAGACAAGAGCCAGAGACAGUUUCAAAAAUAGCUUUACUGAGACAUCCUUUUUUUCCCCCAUUUCUCAGUCUCUGCUCUCUUCUCACCAGAUGCUGGUGCUCAUGCUACGAUGGCACCAAGCUGGGGAUGCAGCAAAAUGGAGAGAAGCAGCCUUGAGACAGGCAAACUCAGUCCAUUUGUGACUUUCUGUAGCAAACUCAUUUUCCCCAGGGCUGUAAGACAAAUGGUUUAAUAACCCAGAAUGCUGUGCUCUUUGCUUCAGCACAGUUGACUCUCUGCAUUCAGCCUUAUUCACAGGUAUCUCCAACAACCUCCUGGGAAAAUGCUGAACAAACGGAGAUCACGGCUUGGAGGCCCGGGGCUGGCCUUGCAUUGUUUGCUUUUUAUUGUAAGGCUUAUCUCGCUGUGUCAUAUGGUUAAAAACUGGAGCCUUGCCUCCAAGAUAGCAGUGAAAAAGCAAGAAAAGCUUGUGCGCAUUUGUCUUCGGGUCAGUUUUAUAAAUGAGUGUACUGAUGCAGCCCUCAACAGAAAUGCAAGGGAGAAACUAUGAGCAAGAGGGAGCAAGAACAAGUCCUAACUUUUUUCCUGUCAUGUGUUUUUUUUUUUUUCUGGAAAUGAAAGAUUUGAACGCUGCUCGCAUGCCUUCUCACCAGAGAACUGGCUGUGCUCCAAUAAUUGUGUGAAAUCUUGGAUUGUGUAUUUUCACUCCAAGACAUUGAACAUGGCCAUAGCUGGAGGUACAUUUGGAAUAUGGAAGCAUGUCUUGUACUCAGUUCCCAUCUGCCCCAGGAUCUUGAGAUGUCCUAAUAGCGUCAGGGACAGUAAGCCAAGCCCGUUAGAGAUAUUGAAAUAGAAUUAUGUGACUAAGGAUGAGAAACUCAAUGGAAAGAAGGCAGCACAGUCCAUGGGGUGCAAUGGCCAAGUGAGGUGGCAAAGGAGAGGGAAGAGGUUUUUGAAAUUAAAGUGGUCUUUGAUUGCUCACCCACUGCUUGGUAGCAGGAAACACAAAAAGAAUUCCUGCUGUCCCCCAGGAGAAUUCAGCUCUGGCUCACUAAAGGGCAGCAAUUACUUCAGACCUGUUUAGGACAAGACAGCAGGUCCUUCUUGUGGGAUUACAGAGCAACGGUGCUUUGGUGUCCAUCAAAGUGCUUUAUUAUGAAGCAUGGUAAUAUCUGUGUCUUCCUCAACAAAAUGAGGAUUAAUUUUACCCCUCUUUAGCCAUGUAAAAGUUUAGGUGUCUAAGGCAGUGAUUUACCCCUCCUCUACAGGCUGUGAAGAGAAAGGGAGGCAUCUCCAGAGAAUGAGUCACCUCUUCAUACGUAGAACGUCUAAAGUGGGUGGGAUGACUCAUCCUCUAAAGGUAACUGUCUCUCUUUCGAUGGCUUAAAUGACUAGUUUCAACUGAAAGCCUAACUUUUUGGUGGCAGAAAUUAGCCAUCUUCACUGUUACCCACAUUUGUCUCAAGUUAUUUUCAAAAUCCAGAGUGAGGGAGAAAGCUUACUUCUCAGUAGAUGGCCCCUUCAAAGGACCAUUUUGUGCUUUCUCCUGGGAUCUGCACAUCUUUGUCUCUCAAAAAUGCUGCUGAAAUGGUUUGCUCAAGUUUCAUGGGGUCAGAGAAACUAAAGCCUGUUGGAAACAUAAAGAGAAGUCACUUGACCCAUCCCCAUUCACAGGCAGAAAGCUGCGGUUAAGUUUUGUUAUCCUUAACAUUUCCUUCUUUCAACAAUAUCUUUCAACAGUCAGUAAGAAAAUUUCAGUUGUCUUCAAUGGGCUUUCAUCCAAGCCUGCAGAGAGAGCGAUAGAGAAAAUCCAGUUGCAGAGGCGAGUCAACAGAGGGGAAAGGUAAUGACACGAGAGAGCUAAAAGAUGUAAUUGUGAGAGGGGCUGGGGGAAGAGAUGGAAAUUAAGAGCAGUGGAGAAACAGAGGUGAUGCUCAGUGGAGAGGAGGCUUGGGUAGGGGGAGAGGGCAAACUUGUACCCUUGAAAUAUGCAUCUCUCCAACGCUGCAGCAUUGCUUCCAUUUGAAAGUGCUCUUCAGUUUAAUCAUUGCCGCACUUUUGGGUAUAAGAUGAAUAAUUAAGCCUGGGAGUAGAAUACAGCGAGUGUUAAUAGGGCAGAAGGUACUGCAAAGUCCUUACAAAAAGCUGUGCUUGCAGCACAAAGUGGCUGCUGUUCCCUGCAUCCCCAAUCACAGUGAGGAGCACAAAAGUACUAAAUUAAAUGAGGUGCAUCUGUACCUGUUCUGCUGGACCUUUUUUCCCCCUGUGUUUGGUAGUAUUGCCUUCUAAAUAAUACUCUGUCUCUAGCAAAAGAUGAACAAUGUAAUUCUAAAUCAAACCAGGACACGCUGCACAGCUUUUCCUUCCAUGCCUACACCUGUAGACUCUCACAAGCUCGGUCUUCUGCUUUACAUAAGUUAAUGUUUGAAGAAAAUAUCUGAUGCCUUAAAGAGACAAUUCAGUCUGAAGUGGCAGCAUUAGGGAGUUCAUCCUCUUUGAUGAGUUCAAGAUUGCUUCUUGUUGCUGUUGAAAGAUCAAGAAUGAAGAAAUAAAUGCCCACUUCAAACUACGAGAGGCAACAAUUAAACAGUUUUUGAGCAGACCCUGGUCCAGCUCUGCUGCCCAAGACCUUGCAGUGCUGACUCGUACACACAGCAAGAGAAGGUACAGCCAGGAAAAGCUGUCACUGGAAUAAAAACAGCCCUUAAUCCAUGUACAAUGCAAGUUAUUGCAAUUUGUUGCUCUGGAUUCUUUUUUCCCCUCAAUCUGAGGUGUCUUUUCCCUGAGCACACUUCUUCCUCAGACUGUGGACAACAAAGCGGUAGCUCAAAAGAAAGCAGUUCUUAUUUAAAUCACCCAAAACUUCUUCAGGGACAGCGUGUGAAGGGUGUUGCUCAUUCCUGUGCGAGAUGAGACUGAGUGUCACUCUAAACAGCAAAUGCUCCUCUCUUAGGUCUUUGUUUUCCAAGUGCACCCAAUUAAACAGAGCUGUAUAAACUAAUCAAAUUAGGCUAGGUAGGAAGAAAGACAGAUUGUUAUUUUUAAAUACUCAGGAGAUGUUUGAGAAUGGGAGGUCAUAAAGGUAAAGAGAGAGGUCAAUAAAUAGAAAGGAGAAAAUUAUUUUUAACUGUUGCAGAUAAGGUAUUUUUAGAGCAAUCACCUGGAAGCUCCCUGAACUACACAGGAUGAUAAGCUCUGCUCAGCACAGCAGCAGUAAUGGGAGCGGAGCUGCAGCCUGGCACAAACCCACCUUCCUGCCUUCUCGCUAGUGAGUUUUCAGUGUAAUUUUUUUUUAUUGUCCCCUUUUUCUCCCACCUCCUGUCCUUACUGCUAUCACUGAGGUACCUCAGAGAGUCUGGGUCUCACAUAGAUGUUUGAGGAGGUUUUCAGUUGUUGCUACAUGGGUAUUUUCCCCCCCUCUUUGGUUUGUUUUUUUCAUCCUUUUCUUUUUAGACUGGUCUCCUCUCACCUCUGCACUAAGUGGAAGAGAUGAAGAGCUGAUCUUCCCCAGGCAAGUGUGUGGGAAAAGAAACCGGGGCUGACUUCCAAAAGGGCUGGAGGACCUUGGGGCCAGGCGGAUGCACCUCUGGCUGAAGCAUCAUCGAGGGAUGAUGAUACAGACAGAGCUGUGUCUCUUUCUCUGUGACGGGAGGGAGGCAGGGAUGUCACUGGAGUUCUUAUUUCAAUUUUCACUUUUUGCACACUGUCCCUCACAACUUCCCCAAUUAUCUAUAUUACACUUUAUCAGCAAGGAGACGCGAUCAAUGCCUUGAUUUUCUGUAGUCUGGGCAACAGUCCAGGCAAGUUUAGGUGAAGAAUAACACCUUUGGAUGAGGAUAAACAUAGAUGUUACCCACUAAUGCUGCAGACAAAAGCAUGGGAAGCACUGAUCAUACUGUUCUUAGAAAAGACCUGAUAUUCAAAAUGCUUUAGCAUAAAUCAGGCUGUGCCAUAAUCAGUAAGCUGUGAAUUUCAAAUAGAUGUUUUCCAAGGUAAGGGAAGAUGUCUCAGUGUCUUCCUCAACCUGAAUUAGUGUUUUUACCUCCUAGAUACCAAACUCUCGAAGGUGUCAGUAUGUUGAAAUGUUGCCACAGUUUGGGGAAAACAGCUGUUUUGCAGCCAUCUUCCUAUCUGCUCUCUCAAGUUGAUCAUCUUACUGCAUUUUCCUGGCCACUCCAUUGAAAAUGAUGGUGUUUCUGCCUUUGUGGUUUUCCAGAGAGAAGGCAAUGAGAAGGGAUUUUUUUUUUUUCUGUCAAGGAUCAAAGCAAAACACAGAAGAUGCCAAAAGAUAAAUAUUUGACUUUGAAACAUGAAAAAGAGGAGGAAGAGCAGCAUCAAGGGAAUAAAUCUUUUGGGAUGUCCUGCAGUGUGAACGUAUAUUUGCUAAAACAGGAGUUGUGGAUACUGUGUAAAGAUGUGGGUUUUACAAGAAAAUACAAUCAGCCAAGAGACCUCUGGGAAAUCACAGAACCUGUGUACACUUUAUGGUUUCUAUAAAAUUAAAUGAUCUUUUCUUCUUAGAGAUAUUGAUCCUAGCUCUUUUAUUAUUAUUAUUGUUAUUAUUAUUUUUUCCACUCUUAUUUCAUUCUCCAUAUCCCUGUCUUUCAGGUCCCUUGUUUGAAUUGGUCCUAUUUAUGUGAAACAGGUUGAUAACUCUCAUCUCUUCUCUUUUUUGCUCUCAAUAAUUAUAGGUCUCCUAGGAAAGCUGGCCUUCAGUAGAAAUAUUGCAAAGGUUUUGAAAGAUUUCAUUAGAAAAGAUUUGGAUCCUGCACAAUUAUCAGUUCUGAAAGGUGCUUUGCCCACCUCCUCCAGUGGAAGUGUUAUUGAUCAUCUCACAAAAGGAAGGGAUGCACUUACAGAGAGAAAAGUCAAGGUCUGGUUGCCUUUUCAACAUCAAUGAGAGAAUUGCAUCUAAUGUUCACCUCAUUCACCUUAACUCCACUGGUCUGCACUAAUUAAGGUGGAGCAAGCCGUGCCAGUUAAUAAAGAACACUGUAAUUCAGCUUGUGCUGGCCAGUGAUUGCAACAAGAGGAAAAACCCAAUAACUGAUUCAAAAGAUGGGCUUUGAUUAACAGAAAUAUCUGGGGCUUUUAUUCACUGAUUGUACAGAACACACUGUAAAAUCCUGUCACUCAAAAUACCUUCUCUUCCUUUUAAGUUGGUCUCUAGCUUGUAAAGUUGUGCUUUAAAAUAUUGCAGAUAAUUGCUAUAAUUCUGCCUUCUAGUUUGCAAACACACUCUUCUACUUGGCCCUAGGUGCCACCGUCUUGCUCCAAGGUCCUACACCCAGGGCACUCACAUCCCACAAGUUGACUCCUUUUGGAGCAAUCACCUUGUUCCAUGUUAGUCAAAGACUAGUGUAGCUUACAGAAUAUUUUGCUGGUAGGUCUAUUUUAGACAUCUAUAUGUAUACCAAGUUUGGUUCUCUCUAUCCAGGACAGUUCUUCACUACUAUCAGAACAGACUUUGCUCCUUUCACAUUCCUACCAGCCAUCCUCAAGACAUGUCCUGCAGUAAGCAACAUGUCCUCUGUGCGACACCAUUCCUAGGCUACCUCCAGCACUUUGAGGUGACAAAACAUACACACAAAAUAAUUGUCUGGGGUGUUCAAGAGCCAAAUUGGGUCCUGUGUGAUAUCUCACCACCAGGACUGAUUCCCUCUAUGGAGCAUCAGUGAAGCAGAAUGUGUGAAGUGUACCAACUUACACAGAUUGGCCUGAUGAUCAGGGUGUUGGUUGGAAGCACUUGGGGCUUCUCAGACCCCAGCCCUGUCUGGAUCAGCACAUUACAGCUGUGUAGACAGGAGAGGGAGUAAUCAGGGAUCACUCCUUCCUCCAAGGCCUCUCAGGAGCAGUAAGAAAGGUCUACAUGUACUCAGCAAGGCCAAUUUUUCACACCCCAUUAGCCCACAUGCGAUGAAUUUCACCACUCAUAACCAGCUCUGCUGACAGAGCUGACCCUUUUUCCCCCCCAGCUGAAUAGUUUUCUCUAACCAAAAUGCAAAGUCAGCAAAAUAUAUUUUUUGUUGACAUUUUUAAUGGGAAAUCGUUGAAACGCUUCAUUUUAAUUUUAGCAUGUGGCCAGUUCUGUCUCAUCUGGUGUGAAGUAAUCAAAACCAUCAGAGAAGCCCUUGCCUCCUUCAAUCAUUUACCAGAGUUUCCCUGCAAGACAACACAUCCUGAGACUCCCGAGCUGAAACAUGAUGGGAUGUUGCCUUUCAUCCUGAAUGACACUUCCAAUUUAACUUUAGAACUUUCCUCCUCAGAAUGAACAUAUUGUUCCAGAAAGCUGCAUUUCUAAGGAAGAAAGGUGUCUUGCACAAGCUUUAAAGGAUGGUUUGAGUCAAGGCUUCUAGAGAAUUACCAGUUGCCACAACAGGACUCCCUCACAUACAGCCAGGAGGAGCUGGUACAGGGAGUCCUGCGUGGUUUAGGCUUUUUAUAGUGACAGGUUUCUUUGCAUAAUGCAUUUUGGGUGAAGCUUCAGUUUUAUUUUGUACUUAUCUGAUGUCAGAAAAGUACAUAUUAAGUCUUCAGGAAAAAAAAAGGAAGGUUUAUUUAAUCAGCUUAUUACAGCCUUCCAUGUAUAAUAAAGCAGUUAUAUGGCAGUAAACCUGGAAUCCUACAGGAGUUUGUUGUGAAGUGACAGAUUCAGGUCACAGCUGUUAAUGAACAGCCAGAUUGAUGUGUGAUGCAUAAUGAUGGCAGAAAUGGCAUUAUUGUCUUGCAGGAGAGUGCAGAAAGGUAGGAUAUGCCAGUUCCAUCAGAACAACUGGGUACCCUGGAGUUUAUUACCUUGCCUCUAGCCCAUGUCUGAUAUUUCAGAGAAAUUAGAGCCAUUCUACAACUGGUGAAUAAAGUAACCACACAGCAGAUGUGGUUUUUGGAUCCUUAGCUCCUUUCACCCUGGAAAAAAACCCUAAAUUUUCCAGUUGACUCUUACUUCUGUAGGCAGAGACUUCAAAGGUAACUCUUUCAACAUCUACUUCUCCCCUCUUUCUUGUUUUAAUCAAAUACUUUUUGGAACAUGAGUUUCUCACGUCCAUGUCAUCUAGCUGGCUUUUAUUCUGUUUCUUGUUCUAAAUUUUCAUUAAGUGGAUCCUAUAAUAAAUGCACAAGUAAUGCUGACCUGAAGGAAAUGCUGCUCACCUUAGAAAGAAAAUCAGAGAGGUAAAAACUUUGCAAAUGGCAAGAUAUGCAGAGUGGCAAAAACAAUGGCUCUUGUUCUGCAUUUCCUGGAGAGAGAGGGCAGCAAAAAAAGCACCCUAAAAAAAACCUAUGAAGGACUGGUCCACCUUUACGGGACUGACCCUUGAAAGCCCACUGGGAACUUCAGCUGGUGCCACAUGCAUCUUUCUCUUAAUUAGUGCUGUUCUGAGAAGCUUCUUGAAACCCCAACUCCUUUUUCUUAUGACUUGGUAAAAUGCCAGCUACUCUGGGGUCUGGGUGCAUGACUGAGGUCCCCCAGUGCUACAUCAGAGAUAUUAAUUCUCAUUAAGAAGUGACGCAAUUGGUGUUCAUUGGACACGCAUUGUGCCCUUUGCUGGCUGCUCCAGGGUGCAGUGUAAGCGUUCGUCUGGGUCUAAAAGGCUCUGUGUGUGUGCUUCAUCGCAGCUGCCUGGGCUUACCGAACCCAAGCCAGCCACUGAGAUUUAAAAAUAAUUCAGGCCAGCAAGUUGAUUUUUGAUCUUAAGACUCCUGGGCCUUUACAGCCCUGAGAUCUGAGAUUCCCCCAGAGCUCAACACACAUUGCUGGUUAUUGAGAGCACUGAAUUUGACCCAGAAAAAUAUAUGGACAUGAUCUUAACUCAUAUGGUUUUGAACAGUCCCUUUGAUUUUCAUGCAUCUGCUCACACAUACACAGACACUCAGUAUUGCAAAUGAUUGUGCUCAGCACCUUACAGGACUGAGCCCUUCACUAAUCCUUCUAAACCCGAGUCUAUUGACUUUCAAAGCAACCCACGAGGGAUUCUUAUCUACAUUUCCCAAACAAGCUGCUUGCUUAGGCUGAGCCUUCUUGCGUUAGCGUUCAACCAGAGUUGAUUUUGAGCAACGAACACGAUUAGGUUUUCAUGUCGAGAGACAAUAAAAAUAUGGAGAUAGUUCCCAAGUAUCCUGGAGCAAAUCAGGAGUGAACUCCCUUCAUUGAAUAGCUUGUAAAAACAUAGAAAAAAAGAUCACAAUUGAUACCUAAAUCCAAGCCAGCCAAUAUCCAGGUUUUGCUUUCUCAUCCUGAAAUGAAUCUUAAUAGAACCCUGAGUGUAAAUGUCUUAGGGAAGUUUGAAAACCAGAUCUCGGUAGUUAGAUGCAUGACAUUUCUAUAAUAUAUUCCUGUCAUCACAUUGCAGAACAAGAUUCAGUCCUAAAUUAUACCACAGCCCAACUCAGAGGGAGAUGCUGCACACUGUCAAGAAAGCCUGUCCCAGAAAACAGACUGAAAUAAGGAUUGCUUCAUCUCUAGAAAAUGUCUAUUACAGGCUUCACUUUGCACCAAAAUCAGACACAGGCAGUACUCUCAGGCUUGACCUAAGCAUUUGGGAUAUCACAAGUCUCAAACAGAAUCCAUGUCCUGGUAGCACAUCAUUAUACAUCUUUCUCAAGGUCACUAUCAACACAUGUGAGAGUGGGACACUCAGACACCAGGAACUGUCAGCGGAAAUAAAAGCUUAUCUGGAAUAACCAUUCCUGCCCUAUCAUCUUCCCCUCUUCAUACAAUGGUCAUACAAUGACUGAGGCUCAAGAAUUAUUCUGGUCCCGGUUCUGAGCAGGUUUUGCCAUGGCAAGUCAGACUAUCUUAGAUUUCCCUUUCCCACCUGUAAAAAUCAGGCUAGCCCUAAACCGAUAAUUUCUAUUUAAGUGACAAGCUUGUAUUAAUUCUGUGCAAGCCCAGAACCAAACACAAUGAGACUUGGGUUGUAAUCAAGACCUCAGAACAUAAACUAAUAGAUACAUCUAUAGAUAUCUACUAAUAAAAGACAUGUAAUAUAAAUAGAUCAAAACUUAACUAAAUACAUACCUGUAUAUAGAAAUAUGAAAGGCAUAAGUUGUAUUUCUGUCUUCCUGAUGUCACCUUAGGUCUCUUGGCUUCCUCACUUGAUUUUAGCAGCACCAUACUCCAGGUGCUCUUUCCUCUGUUCCUGGCAGCAUCUCUGAGAAGUCUUGACCUUCAGCUCCCCUUGGCACACCCUGUUCGAGGAAAUCUGUGAGCACCUUGGAAAAUCAUUCAGGUUGACCUUUUUUUCCUAUUUAGACAAAUCUAUGUUCUAGAUGACUGGCAGUAUUAAAAACCAAGUGUAGUUCUGAUACUCAAAUCUAGUAUCUAUGCCGCAUGUUUCAAGCAGAAAAUCUUGACUUUAAAUUUCUCUUUUUUAAGACCUUUAAAAUUUCAGUCAAAAUAAUUCAGUUGGACAUUUUCUACUGGAAGCUGUUGUGCUGUUAAAAACUAAGGCACCUCACAGCAAUUUAUCACUGGCAAAAGCAUCCCUAAUAAGCAGAAUGAGUCUGUGUGUUUUUCCCAUUUCAUUUUCCUGCUUUGUUCAGUUCAAUUUGCUUGACUUUUUCAGUGGCAUUAAAAUAUUAUUUCAAGCUGCACUGACAUGAUGUGUGCUAUAGGUAAUA